UGGGGAAUUGUUCGCAAUGGGCGCAAGCCUGACGACGCAACGCCGCGUGGAGGAUGAAGAUCUUCGGGUCGUAAACUCCUGUCGAGUGGGAAGAAUAGUCUCGGGGUAAAUAUCCCCGGGGCCUGACGGUACCACUAAAGGAAGCCCCGGCUAACUCCGUGCCAGCAGCCGCGGUAAUACGGGGGGGGCAAGCGUUGUUCGGAAUUACUGGGCGUAAAGGGCUCGUAGGCGGCCAACUAAGUCGGAUGUGAAAUCCCCAGGCUCAACCUGGGAACUGCAUCCGAUACUGGAUGGCUUGAAUUUGGGAGAGGGAUGCAGAAUUCCAGGUGUAGCGGUGAAAUGCGUAGAUAUCUGGAGGAAUACCGGUGGCGAAGGCGGCAUCCUGGACCAACAUUGACGCUGAGGAGCGAAAGCUAGGGGAGCAAA
rnacentral:rRNA from 1 species